rnacentral:tRNA from 1 species
GUACACAUAGUUUAACACAAAACACCAGCCUGUGGGCCUGGAGAUCGAGGACAAAGCCCUCUUGUGCACC